UCUUGUAAGAUACUCUUCCUAUCAUUGCAAAGCAGAAUUCACCAAGCGUUGGAUUGUUCACCCACGAACAGGGAACAUGAGCUGGGAUUAGACCGUCGUGAGACAGGUU
rnacentral:ncRNA from 1 species